rnacentral:lncRNA from 1 species
UCGAGCGAAGCGGGUAGGUUUAUGGGCUUUACCGAAUCCUGAGAAGCCAUGGGAAUGGAGAAAGGACAAACGACAAGGCAGAUGACAACGUCUGAUACCUUGAAUGAACCACAUUUGACAUGUACAUAAAGAAAUAUGGGUGCCCUAUAACUUGUACACAAGACCAGGGGAAUCUACAAACCAUUUGAACAUUGUCAAUUUGAUGUUUUAUUCCGAUUUUAGAAAGUGUUAGUAACAUGUAACAUUUGUUCAAACAAUUAAAGCAAGUGUUGUAACGUAUAUAUUUUAUCAAUUUGAUUCUUGUAAAAAUCUAUAGAACUCUUACCGCAUUAGUUAGCAAAAUGUACCUGAUAAUAUUUAUCAAUUUAAAGCAUCGAAAGGCAAUUCUUGUGUCAUUAAAACAUGUAUAUCAACGGUAGAAUCUAGGGUAAAAAAUUAUUUUAUUAAGCGUCACAUUGCAUUUCAUGUAAAAAAUAAAUAAACUAGUCCUUAUACAUUAGAUUAAAGAAUAAAUUGAUUCUUUCUAUUAAACUACACACUAGUAACAUGAGACUAAUUUGCAUUUUUUUAUUAAAAAAAUAUAAAAUACAAUCUAACUUUUAAUUUACCUAAAAUCUAUUAUUAUUAUUAUUAUUAUUAUUAUUAUUAUUAUUAUAAUAUAAGAGCUUUGAGGUGAUAGGAUACUAUAAAAUUUUUGGAGUAAAGGUCAGUAGUACCAACAGGAAUCUGCAAACGAAACUCAUUGGAAGCGCCUUUGACCAUAAAAAAAAUAUCCCACCAUAAGUCUUUCUCUUUCCUUGCAUGUCUUCCAGCUUUCAUUUACCCCAGUCCUCAAUAUCUCCUCUAUAGUGCUACAGCAAAAGUUUUGAGAGCUAGGAUUUUUCAAGAUGGGAAAUGCUCUUAGGCUCCUAUAUGAGAAAAGUUUGGAAGCCGUCGUCAUUACGGAAGGUGGUUCAGUAGAGCCACGUUAUACCACUACAGCUCCUCGGGUUUCAGCUCUUGCCCGUGAUCUCCUCAACUUUGAAAGAACUUCCCUGGUAAUGAUUAUUUCUGUGUGUUCUCUUUGUUGAUCUUUUUGAGCUGAGCAAAGCUUAUCUGUUUGUUUAAAAUUGGAAACUGGUUUCUUCAAGGUACCGGAAGAUCUCACUCAGCAUGUUGUAUCAUCAAGGAAGGCUCAAGUCAAAUGGUAACUAACAUAUCUGAUGAUGAUGAUGGUGAUAAUGAUGAUGAUGAUCAACACCAUCUGGUUGACUUUUCUUGGUCUGUUUUACAUUAAGGUAUGGAAAGUUAUUGCAAGCAUGGAAAGAAGCAAAACCCCGACCAAAAACACCUGAAGAGGUUGCUAGGCUUAUUGUUGAGACCUUAAGCAGACAUCAAAAGGCAGAUGUUGAGGUAUAAAAAAGGCCAAUAGCAUCAAAAGCAUUAGUUAUGUACUGUUGUUAAUGCUAUUGCAGUAAUGUUUUUUUGUGUUCUAAUUUACUUUUAGGGUUUAUUGGAAUUCUAUGAUCUUCCUCAUCCUACUAUUUUUGAGGAAAUUUCUACUGGUGUCCCGAUAAGAUUGCCUGAAGGAGUGAAAUUUGAAAUGCAUACAUUACCAGUGAGGAUAUUAAAUGCCAUUUCAAUAUUGUUCAAGGGAGAUUGCUCUCUGGGCCAGUCUUGAAUCCUCAAUGGUGAAGGUAUUGUACUCUAGAUGUCUAUUCUUGAUUAUCCUCAAGUUUUAUCUUCUGUAAUUCGAGAAGAAGCAAAAGAGAUUCACAAAGUUUAGAAAGUGUCUCGCCACCAGGGAAAUGUUUAGCAUUUAGCCACCAAAUGCUAAACAUUUACUUGGUGGGGAGAUGCUCCUAAGUUCUGUGAACUUUUGGGGCUCGCUUCGGACUACAAGAGACAAAAGCCCGGGGAUAAUCGAUAAUAGACAUUCUGAGUAUAAUACCUCCACCGUUGAGGUCUGAAACCGGCCUAAAGAGCAACCUCCCGUCAACAAGUAUACAUAUUGGAUUUGAUAAUUUCGAUGCUGUAAACUUCUUUAACUUAAUCAGGUAGAUGGGAAUAAAGUACCAGAUGGGGAUGGUUUAUAUGUGUAUGUGAAUACUGAUGAUCCCAGGGAGUCCUCGAACAUACCUAGAGCCGUUCUUAUGGCUGCGGUUCAAAGAUCAAAAGCACGUGCUAUGAAAAACUAUGCCAGAGCCGAUGAACUCCGCAAGAAGAUUAUUGAAUCAGGAUACCGGUUAGCUGCAUUCAACUUGUCAAAUUUUUAGUACUACUGUGAUUCGAGAUUGUUAAUCGUUGUUUGUCUGCAGGGUCAUAGACUUUCAAAACGAAGAGAUUCUUGCUCGAGAGUAUCGGAUUCGACUGAGGUAACAUUGUCUGUUUGUAGGACUUUUAUGUUCUAUAGUGUAACUUGUUGAAAGCAUAUAAACGGGGGUAUAGAUGCACCUGAGAUGUUGAUGCCGUUCGGAGAAGAAGCAAAACAAGAGUUGGCUAAGCUUGUUCGUGGGAAAUGUUUGAGAGUGCUUGUCUACGGGAAAGAUCAACACGGUCGUUGUGUUGCAGACAUAUACUGCAAUGGCAUUUUCGCGCAGGUAGAUACCCUUUUUGUAAGCUUCAAUUCGGUUUACCUGAUAAGAACGAAUUAAUCUGCAAACCUGUUACUUGAACAGGAAGUAAUGCUAAAGAAAGGACUCGCAUGGCAUUAUGUAGCCUACGACCAACGGGUUGAAUUCGCAACCGUAAGUAAACAACAAUCCUGUAUGUUCUUGCACAUCGUUGAGUUAAAACUUGUGACUAUUGUCUUUGUACGUAUGUAAUAUCAGUGGCAAAAAGAGGCUCAGGCAAAGAGAACCGGCCUUUGGGUACACUCAAACCCAGAGAAGCCAUGGGAAUGGAGGAAGAAGAACAAACGGUAAGGUAGAUAAAACUGUCCUUAAGGAUCCAUAACAUCUUGAGAAGUGAUAAAAGUACACAAUUAUCAUAUUUGUGUAAAGAACCAUGUUUGAUAGUUGAAACUUGUUGUAAGUUGUUUCAAAAACUUGAUGAAUGAUAUGUAUUUGCAGCAUGGAGUCCAAGGAGGAGUGUUGAAAUUGGCCAACCAUGCUGCUGUUUGAAGUGCAUGCAGCUUGAUGACAUGCUGCAGCACGUAUGCUUGCUGUGACAGCAAGGUUUUCUCUUUAGUUUCUUUGUUAAGCUACAUAGUUGAAAAUGAACAAGUUGGUAUUGUUUUGAUGUUUUUAGGUGCUGAUUGACAUAAUCAGCUUGUGUGCAAGUUAAGUUUUACUUGUUUCUAAGUAUAAUUAGUGGUAGUAGGUACUAUUUGGUGAUGUAUUUGACUAUAUAUAUGUUGUUUUUCUAGUUGAAUGAAUGAGUUGAAUGAGCUAUCAGCCAUAAGCUCCCUUGCUGCACGUUUGUGAGCAAGUAAAAAUUUUCUUGCACCUUGCUUCAUGUUCUGUUCUCUCUGUUCUCUUAUUUUGCUGCUGCCAUUGUUCCAACAUUGAUCCAUUCCCAUAUCUCUUGUUUGUAUGCAAUGCUUAUUAUUAUCAAAUGAUUGUCAAACAUAUAUAUGUACAUUACUUUUGAAACAUGGAUGUGCUCCUAAAAUUGAUCUCUAAGGAGAGCAUUGUACCAUAAUAUGGCAUGCUCAACUCAAACAUAUGGACACCAUUUAACAAAGACAUAAAAUCAUAUUCAUGUCGGCCGAAUCAAAACAUCUUUGUGUAGGACCAUAGCUUUAUCCAAAAUUUCCAAGCAUAGAUUUGCAUAAAGAUCUGUUCAGCAUGCAAAAUCCCCAACGGUGCAAUCCAUAAAAUACCAAAAUCCGUUAACAGGGAAAAGAAAGCAUAUUCCAUUAAAUGAAACUCCUUUACAUAUACAAUUCAGUCAUAACAAUCUAUGAUCUCAAUAGCAAAUACAGCAACACUUGAAAGAACAAAAGAUGAUAAAAAACAAAUGAUCAUCAAAGGGUACACAAAGGGAACAAAAAAUAAUCAAGUGAGAGUGUGAAAAGAAUAGAAACCACAUCUCUAUUUGGCAAAAUAAAAGCAGCAAGUGAAUAUGUUUGCAACUUGCUCAUUUGUUUUUGUUGGCACCAUCUUGAUCUCCUCUUCAGGGACCUUUUUGCAAAUAUUAUGAUAAUGCACUUCUAUAUUGUUCUUGCAUGAAAGAUUAGAUUCUCUACUAGACGUAUGACUGAUAAAUUAUUGUAGAGAAGCCUUACUUGAUAGUUUAUUGGCUGAUGAAGAUCUUUCAUAAGUUGUUUCAGCCAAAUACUCCCUUGUGGCGCUGAUGUUGCUGACCAAUAUUCCACUUCGGUACUUGAUAAAGACACUGUUGGUUGUCUCUUGCUGCAUUAUGAUAUUACUCCUGAUCCAAGGCUGAAGAUGUACCCUGUAGUUGAUCGUCGCGUAUCAUAGUCUCCACUAUAGUCGACAUCACAAUAUCCAACCAACAGACAUUCUUUUGUUUUCUUGUAUAAAAUAUCAAAAUUAAUGGUGCCUUUAACAUGCCUCAGAAUGCACCGUAUUGCAUCGAGAUGAGGCUUCUUAGGAUUACUCAUGUAUCGACUAGCCACACCAACUACAUAAAUUAUGUCUGGCCGGCUUAGAGUAAGAUAGAUAUGACUUUCGACCAGCUAUCAAUACAUAGUUACAUCUUCUAAAUGUUUUCCUUCAUCUACUCGUAGUUUUAUAUUGGGAUCCAUGAGAGUGGAGAUAGGCUUGCAGUCAAGCAUCCCAUACCUCUAUAGAAGAUCCUUCGCAUUUUUCUGUUGGGUAAAAAAUAAUCCUUCCUUUGUGUGCUUUACUUCAAGUCCAAGAAAAUGUUUGAGUUCUCUUAGUUCAUUCAUAUGAAAUCUGAUAAAAAGAUUUUUCUUUGUUUGUUGAAUUUCCUCGCAAUAAUCUCCCGUGAUGAUUAAGUCAUCUACAUAUACUAGCAUUAUAGCUAGUUUUCCUUGAUUUGCUUUCACAAAUAACCUAGAAUAUGAAGAAGCAAUUGUAAAACCACUUUGUAUUAAGAACUCACCGAUCUUCUUGUACCAUGUUCUUGGAGUUUACUUCAAGCCGUAAAGCGUCUUCUUCAGUUUGUAAACAUACUCAGGAUGGAUAUUAUUCUCAAAACCUCUUGGUUGCUCCAUGUAGAGGUCCUUGUCAAGUUCUUCAUGUAGGAAAGCAUUCUUGACGUCCAUCUGCCACAGCUUUUAGGACUUUCUAGCUGUCAAUUCUAGUAAGACUCGAACAGUUGUGAUCUUUGUCACCGUGCUAAAUGUUUCUUCAUAAUCCAACCCAUAUUGUUGAGAGAAAACAAGUCGAGCAAUGGUUGAAGAUGAAUACAUCUAAAUCUAUGUAUUAUAAAAGCAAUAAGCAGCCCUAGAUUUUCAACACAUACGACGAAUUCAUUAUGUCUCAAAUUGAUCACAAUAAUUUGUAAUGCCACCUCCAACAAAGUGUCUCUCAUGGAAAUAUCGAAAAUAUCGAAUCCCAAUACUAUAAUGAUAUGGGGAAAUAUGAUGAUUAGUGAUAUAAAGUCAUAACAAUAGUUAACAUCCUCAACAUAGAAAUUGGAGAUUAUAAUAAUGAAAGAUGCGAAGUAACUAACAAGAAUGUUAUGAUGAGCAACAUUUAUAUAUCAUUCGUGUCCAUACGGUUUAUCUUCCAAAAUUUCCACUCAUACCAACAUUUGAAAGUGAUAUUGUUAACAAGAUUUUCACUAUUUUUAAAUUUUAAAAGUGGUAUUGUAACAAGAAUUAUACUAAGGCAGAUGCACUUCAAAAGAAAAUUACUAUUUCAGGAUACAGGUUUUAAGCUAUCAAAUCUUCUCAUACACGAAAAAUGCCGGUUCGGGAUUGGUUUUUAGCGGCCUUAGCUUGUUGCUACAGGGUGUUGAAUGUUCAGAACCAGGAGAUUCUUGCUCGAAAGUAUCGAAUCCAGCUAAAGUAGCACAUUUAUUUGUUUAAUGUUCAAUGUUCAAUGUUUUAUCAGCUAAAUCUCAAUCUAAAAUGUGAGAUAGGGGUAUAGAUGCACCAGAGAGUUCAAUGCCAUACGGUAAAGAAGCGAAAGAAGAGUUGGUUAAGCUUGUUGGUGUGAAAUGCUUACGAGUUCUCGUCUAUGGGGAAGAUCGAUACGACCGUUGCGUCGGAGAUAUAAAUUGCAAUGGAAAAUUCGUUCAGGAAAUUAUGUUGAAAAAGGGGCUUGCAUGGCAUUACUCUGCUUAUGACCAACGUAUAGAACUAGCAACUGUGAGUAACCAAUAGAUUCUCCAUCCCUGCACUUGUUUCAAUCAAAACAUGAAAAAACUGUCAAAUUCUAAAUGCUAUGUACUUGUAUGAAACUAGUGGGAAAAGGAGGCUCGAGCGAAGCGGGUCGGUUUAUGGGCUUUACCGAAUCUUAAGAAGCCAUGGGAAUGGAGAAAGGACAAACGACAAGGCAGAUGACAAUGUCUGAUACCUUGAAUGAACCACAUUUGACAUGUACAUAAAGGAAUAUGGGUGCCCUAUAACUUGUACACAAGACUAGGGGAAUCUACAAACCAUUUGAACAUUGUCAAUUUGAUGUUUUAUUCUGAUU